rnacentral:lncRNA from 1 species
GUCUUGCAGUAAUUAAUCAAUAAGUUCUUAAUUAAGUUCAAUACGCAAUUUUAUUUGGAUAUGUAAGAAGGAGGGUUUAACUAUAAUUUUAAAAUGGCUUUGUUUGGUUCAACACUUACUUCCUCAAUAAGAGUUGGGUUGUAAUUUCAUUUGGUUUUAUAGACAGGGUUUGACAAUUAUCUAAUGUGGCUUUGAAGCAGGGUUUAACAAUUAUCUAAUGUGGCUUUGAAGCAGGGUUUAACAAAUAUUUAAUGUGGCUUUGAAGCAGGGUUUGACUAUUAUCUAAUGUGGCUUUGAAGCAGGGUUUAACAAAUAUUUAACGUGGCUUUGAAGCAGGGUUUGACAAUUAUCUAAUGUGGCUUUGAAGCAGGGUUUAACAAAUAUUUUCUGCAGUUAUAAGGCAGGGUUUAAUAAAUAUUUCCAAUGGUUUUCUAGUUGGGGUUUAACAGUAGUGGUUUUGUAGAAAGGGUCUGACAGUAUUUCCUGUGGUUUUGUA